GGGGAUGACUGGUAUCGACAGAAAACGCUCUUUAAAAACGGCAAGCCUCCUUUGAACAACAGGAGUAAAACAGGUUCAAAAAAUAAAAGAUACUUCUUAUGAAGUUUCUCCUAGAGCUGACUUUGAAGUCAAAUACGCUUUUGCGUAAAUAGGCAUCUAAUUAGUUUUUUCCUGUCGAAGCUUUUUAGGUGUAAACAAAGACAAGAUGCAAAUGAAAAGUUUGCCGAACACUUUUCAUCCAAGUUUAAGUUUGACAACCUUUAAUUUUCCAGACUAACGGAUCAGAUUAAAGGUAAAAAAAGUUAGUCUAAGCUUGUAGAAGUUUUUAAAAGUCUUUUUUGGAUUCCGGUUCAAUUCCGGACAUCUCCACAC
rnacentral:tmRNA from 1 species